UUAAAAAGCUCGUAGUUGGAUUUCUACCGAGAAUGGCCGGUCCGCUCUAUGAGCGUGUAUCUGGUUCAGUCUUGGUAUCCUCUUGAAAGACGUUUCUGCGCUUGAUUGCGUGGGGCGGAGUUCAAGACUUUAACUUUGAGGAAAUUAGAGUGUUCACGGCAGGCAAGCGCCUUGAAUACAUUAGCAUGGAAUAAUAAUAUAGGAUCUUGGUUCUAUUUUGUUGGUUUCUAGGACUAAGAUAAUGAUUAAUAGGGAUAAUUGGGGGCAUUUGUAUUAACGCGUCAGAGGUGGAAUUCUUGGAUUGCGUUACGACAAACUACUGCGAAAGCAU
rnacentral:rRNA from 1 species